UAAACCUGUGUUAAUUUGAGGGGGGCGGGGAUCGGGUUUGCUGUCUGAGAAGUGACCCCCCUGCAGGGUGAUGGCACAGCGAGGAGGAUGGCCUGCUGGUCGAGAUGCCCGAUGGAGAUGUUCUGGAGAUCGCAGGUGGGGAGGUGGGAAUCUGUAUGAGGAGGUUUGUGCCUAGCUGGGGUUCUCCAAAAUCUUGGGGCUUCCGAAUUGCAGGUACCUCCUGGGAGACCAAGGAGUGGGUCAGGAAAAGAGCAUACCCACAUACAUCUGUUGGUGUAUCUCCCAGCUUAGUUGCCUACAGCGUGCACUAAGGGCAAGUUGGGCCAGGGUGAGAAAGUGGGCUUCUGGAGGAGGAUCUCAGGGUUGGAUGAUAGAGGAAAGCUGCAGUAUUCUCUUCACAUCUUUUCACCUUUCUCGUUCACCUUCCAGUGGGGUAAGUGUGUUGAGUUUUUUUGCGAUAAAACUUUGUAUUCAUUGUAAUAGAAACUUCUGUAGUUUCCAGUGUGUUUUACCAGGUACAAGAAUCUGAUCUGAUGCAAUUCAGAGUAAGCUUGCAGAGGUUUGCAUUGUCAGUCUUUAAGGAUUGACUUUCACUCUUAGUCUUUCAGUUGUUCUUGCACUCCGGUAAAAGUGUUUUUCGAUUCUUCUCUCAUUACCUUUGUAUGUCAGUACUUGGAAGUAUUGAAAAAAAUCCUGUUCAUCUGUAACCAGUUGAAUAUAUAGACUUUUGUACAGGUUUUCCAGAUGGCUUUCUUACACAGCAUUUCUGGUUUUGUCCGGAAACAUAUUUUGCACGAAAUAAUACUUGUUCCUCAAUCUUGCUGCAACUGAGCAGUUAAGUAGCAUUU